UACGAAGGGGGCUAGCGUUGCUCGGAAUUACUGGGCGUAAAGGGCGCGUAGGCGGCUCUGUUAGUCAGUCGUGAAAGUCCUGGGCUCAACCUGGGAACUGCGCUUGAUACGGCAGAGCUAGAGGAUGGAAGAGGGUCGCGGAAUUCCCAGUGUAGAGGUGAAAUUCGUAGAUAUUGGGAAGAACACCGGUGGCGAAGGCGGCGACCUGGUCCAUUACUGACGCUGAGGCGCGAAAGCGUGGGGAGCAAACAGG
rnacentral:rRNA from 1 species